rnacentral:rRNA from 1 species
GUCCACGCCGUAAACGAUGAUAACUAGCUGUCCGGGCUCAUGGAGUCUGGGUGGCGCAGCUAACGCAUUAAGUUAUCCGCCUGGGGAGUACGGUCGCAAGAUUAAAACUCAAAGGAAUUGACGGGGGCCUGCACAAGCGGUGGAGCAUGUGGUUUAAUUCGAAGCAACGCGCAGAACCUUACCAGCUUUUGACAUCCCGAUCGCGAUUACCAGAGAUGGUUUUCUUCAGUUCGGCUGUAUCGGUGACAGGUGCUGCAUGGCUGUCGU